UCAGUCGGCCGGACGGCCGCUCCGGCAGGUGCCGAAAGGUCGCCGGGGAGGAAAGUCCGGGCUCCCUUGACAUGCGGUGCCGGAUAACGUCCGGCGGGGGUGACCCCAGGGAAAGUGCCACAGAGAACGAACCGCUUCCUCUUCGGAGGAAGUAAGGGUGAAAAGGUGCGGUAAGAGCGCACCGCGGCUGCGGCAACGGAGCCGGCAUGGCAAACCCCACCGGGAGCAAAACCGAAUAGGGACGGCGUAGCGGGCUGUUCGCGAAAGCGAUAACGCCGCGGGGCGAUGUCAGGCCCGCCGUCCGGGUAGGUUGCUCGAGGCCGUGUGCAAACACGGUCCCAGAGGAAUGGCCGUCACGUAUCGUCCGCGCAAGCGGGCGGUGCCCUACAGAACCCGGCUUACAGGCCGGCUGAUAUC
rnacentral:RNase_P_RNA from 1 species